GGUGCUCUCUUCUUCCUCCUCUCCUCUUUCCUCGGCGGCGGCGCAGGCGGCGCAGCGGCGACAGGAGAAGGCGAAAUGACGAAGGGAACGGGCAGCUUCGGCAAGCGCCGGAACAAGACCCACACGCUGUGCAUCCGCUGCGGCCGCCGCAGCUUCCACCUGCAGAAGAGCACCUGCUCCUCGUGCGGCUACCCCGCCGCCCGCAUCCGCAAGUACAACUGGAGUGUGAAGGCCAUCAGGAGGAAGACCACCGGCACCGGGAGGAUGAGGUACAUGCGCCACGUGCCCAGGAGGUUCAAGAGCAACUUCAGAGAGGGAACUGAGGCCGCACCAAGGAGCAAGGGAGCCUCUUCCAGCGGCAACUAG
rnacentral:rRNA from 1 species